rnacentral:rRNA from 1 species
GUCGCAGCCUGAUGCAGCCAUGCCGCGUGUAUGAAGAAGGCCUUCGGGUUGUAAAGUACUUUCAGCGGGGAGGAAGGGAGUAAAGUUAAUACCUUUGCUCAUUGACGUUACCCGCAGAAGAAGCACCGGCUAACUCCGUGCCAGCAGCCGCGGUAAUACGGAGGGUGCAAGCGUUAAUCGGAAUUACUGGGCGUAAAGCGCACGCAGGCGGUUUGUUAAGUCAGAUGUGAAAUCCCCGGGCUCAACCUGGGAACUGCAUCUGAUACUGGCAAGCUUGAGUCUCGUAGAGGGGGGUAGAAUUCCGGGUGUACUUU